rnacentral:rRNA from 1 species
AUUGAACGCUGGCGGCAUGCCUUACACAUGCAAGUCGAACGGCAGCGCGGGGCAACCUGGCGGCGAGUGGCGAACGGGUGAGUAACAUAUCGGAACAUACCCUAGAGUGGGGGAUAACGUAGCGAAAGUUACGCUAAUACCGCAUACGCACUAAGGUGGAAAGUGGGGGAUUCGCAAGAACCUCAUGCUCAUGGAGUGGCCGAUAUCUGAUUAGCUAGUUGGUGAGGUAAAGGCUCACCAAGGCGACGAUCAGUAGCUGGUUUGAGAGAACGACCAGCCACACUGGAACUGAGACACGGUCCAGACUCCUACGGGAGGCAGCAGUGGGGAAUUUUGGGUACAAUGGGGGCAAACCCUGAUCCAGCAAUGCCGCGUGAGUGAAGAAGGCCU